GUAAAUAGUUUCUUAAUUCAACAGAACUUCAAAAACUACCAAAUAAUUGUAGCCAAUAAGAAAGUAUCUCAUAAAACCAUAGUAGAUCCCAGGAGGUGGACAAGCCAAAAUUGUAUUUUCCAAGGAUUGAAGAUUAUGCUUCUGAUAUACUUAGUGAAGCUGGAGAAUUUUAAUUAUUUAUUUAAAAUGCCAAAGUUGAAAAUACGACAUUUAAUCUUUUGUAGGCAUCUAUGGACCAAAGUGUGCUAGAUUUGGAAAUGGCAACCAAACUAGGUUGGUGUGCUUUCUCAAUAAUACAGAUACUAGGGACCAUUGCAGUAAUGUCCCAGGUUGCGUGGGAGGUAUUUGUAAUCUUCAUUCCAGUAACAGCAAUCUGCAUAUGGUACCAAGUAAGUGAUCAGUUUUGGUUUUUGUUUAUAAUUUAUACAGAGCUGAUUAUUCAGUUUCAUAGAUAGAAUGAUAAAAAAUUAUGCCUUUUGUUUUUAUCUAUACUUUUUAAGGCAUUUGAAUGCUCCAGUUAAUUAUGCAACAGAGAUUUCUUGAAAAGAAAGGGAAGAGAGAGCAUAAGCAUCACACAAAUUACUUUAAAAAGAAAUGAUGAAGAAAAUGGAAAUUCAAACGCUAGGAAUAUAAAUUAGUACUUUCACAGUUAAAUGGUAUCUAGAGUUGCUGUCUUUUUAUGCAAACGAUCUGAAAAAUUAAUGACUAUGAUUUCUUCAGCAAUACUACAUACCAACAGCUAGAGAAUUGGCCCGCUUGGCAGGAAUACAGAGAGCUCCAAUUCUUCACCACUUUGCAGAGUCACUAGCAGGAGCAGCCACGAUUCGUGCUUUUGAUCAAGAAGACCGUUU
rnacentral:lncRNA from 1 species